rnacentral:rRNA from 1 species
UACGUAGGGUGCAAGCGUUAAUCGGAAUUACUGGGCGUAAAGCGUGCGCAGGCGGUUGUGCAAGACAGAUGUGAAAUCCCCGGGCUUAACCUGGGAACCGCAUUUGUGACUGCAUAGCUGGAGUACGGCAGAGGGGGAUGGAAUUCCGCGUGUAGCAGUGAAAUGCGUAGAUAUGCGGAGGAACACCGAUGGCGAAGGCAGUCCCCUGGGCCUGUACUGACGCUCAUGCACGAAAGCGUGGGGAGCAAACAGG